GGCCGCCGGAACUCUAGGUGUAUCGGUGAAAUGCGUAGAUAUCUAAAGGAACGCCAAAGACGAAGGUAGGCGGCUGGGCCGGUUCUGACGCUCAGGCACGAAAGCGUGGGGAGCAAACAGGAUUAGAUACCCUGCUAGUCCACGCCGUAUACGUUGUGCAAUAGGUGCUGGAGGUUCUGACACCAUCAGCGCCGAAGCGAAAGUGAUUAGUGCACCGCCUGGGGAGUACGGUCGCAAGCCUGGAACUCAAAGGAAUUGACGGGGGCUCACACAACCGCUGGAGCAUGUGGCUUAAUUCGAGGCAACGCGAAGAACCUUAUCCUGGGCUUGAUAUGCAUGGAUUAACGCUGGGAAACCAGCGCCACACUCUUUGAGUGGAACAUGCACAGGUGCUGCAUGGCUGUCGUCAGCUCGUCGCUGUGAAGCGUUGGCUUAAGUCCCUUCACGAGCGAAACCCCUGUCGCUAGUUACCAUCAGGUAAUGCCGGGGACUCUAGCGAGACCGCCGGUGUCAAGCCGGAGGAAGGCGGGGAUGACGUCAAGUCCUCAUGGCCUUUAAGCCCAGGGAUGCACACGUGCUACAAUGGCCCCGACACGAGCGAAGCAAAACCGCGAGCUAGAGCAUAUCGCUCAAAAGGCGCCCCAGUUCGGAUUGCAGUCUGCAACUCGACUGCAUGAAGCCGGGAAUCGCUAGUAAUCGCGUAUCAGCUCCGACGCGGUGAAUACGUUCAUGAGCAUUGUACACACCGCCCGUCAAGUCAUGGAAGCCGGGAGUAUCCGA
rnacentral:rRNA from 1 species